rnacentral:lncRNA from 1 species
UCAUUCUUUUAAAAAAAAAUUUCUUAGACAAAAAAAAAAUAAAAAAGUUUUAAGCAAAAAAAAAACAGUAUUGUAUUUUUUUUAAACACAAACUUUGUUCAUAAAUGGAAAUAUCAUAGUAAAGUAACCAAAUGUAAUUCUAAAUUCUUAAAGAGGUAAGUGCAUAAUUUAAAUGUUAUAAAGUAUACAAAGGUGAUAGUAUAGAAAAGUUAAAGAAACUUUAUAAUUUAUUUGGC